rnacentral:rRNA from 1 species
ACUCCUACGGGAGGCAGCAGUGGGGGAAUAUUGCACAAUGGGCGCAAGCCUGAUGCAGCCAUGCCGCGUGUAUGAAGAAGGCCUUCGGGUUGUAAAGUACUUUCAGCAGUGAGGAAGGUGGGUAUGUUAAUAGCAUACUCAUUUGACGUUAGCUGCAGAAGAAGCACCGGCUAACUCCGUGCCAGCAGCCGCGGUAAUACGGAGGGUGCGAGCGUUAAUCGGAAUUACUGGGCGUAAAGCGCAUGCAGGUGGUUUGUUAAGUCAGAUGUGAAAGCCCGGGGCUCAACCUCGGAAUUGCAUUUGAAACUGGCAAACUAGAGUACUGUAGAGGGGGGUAGAAUUUCAGGUGUAGCGGUGAAAUGCGUAGAGAUCUGAAGGAAUACCGGUGGCGAAGGCGGCCCCCCUGGACAGAUACUGACACUCAGAUGCGAAAGCGUGGGGAGCAAACAGGAUUAGAUACCCUGGUAGCCUCUGC